UGCAGCAAGGUGCAACAGAGAGAGGGAGGACCUGUCGAGGCUUUGACUCGGUCAUGCGGCUAUCCACGAGGGCAAGGGUGCGGGGGUUGGUGACGCGACAGCUCGGGCGCGCUGGCAGCCAAAUGCGCACUCUGGGCGCGUCGAGAGCACGCACGCCAGGCAUUCGACAGAAUGUCUGGCGCCUCUAGCCUCUUCGAGUGAUGCUCCAAAUUAACAUAAAUUGGUUAGGGCCUAGGACAAGAUGGUUAGACAUGCUCGCUUGGGUAGUGGAGGAACUCCACAGUGUAGACUAACCUCAUGCCAAUUCUGACCACACACCAUAGGUGCUUGAUGAAAUGCGAGAGUCUUCAAAGGGGUUCUACUGCCAACAAAAAUCUAUAGAUCCCACUCUCUUUAGGUGUUAGUCAAAGUGUUAGGGUUAGUUUGUGAAAAUAAGAAAAUUGUUAGCACAACUUUUGGGGAAAAAACUUUCUGGACAGAAUCUUUAAGUUGUUAAUACAGGGAAUAAACAAUG
rnacentral:lncRNA from 1 species